UUUCCGGUAGAUUUGAGAACCGAGCAGGGAAAGAAAGGCAGGUAGAUAUGAGUCGGCACGCUAAGUUUAUAGCAAGAACGGUUUUAUGUGAACCUGGGAAAGUAGAGCAAGGGUUUAUGAAGUUAAGGAAAAUACUUGUAGUAGAUGGAAUAGAAAGGGACCUCCAGAAGCAAAAGCACAGCAUGAAGCCAUAUAUUGCCAAGGCAAAAAAAGUACAAGCAGUAAAAUCAAGAAUAAUAAGGAAAGAAAUGAAAAUAAAAACAGAUUUUCUUACAUCUUUGAAAAAUAGGAGGAAUCCAUUUCCAAGAUAGCACAGAAGAGGAUAUGAAGGAAAUAAGGACACAUUUUCAAUGAUUGAAACUGUGAACUUCAAAUAUGCAGACUGUCAGUUUGAAUUAUUUGAUCGAACUUCAAAACUGCAAAGAAAAGCAGUAUUGACCCCUGAACUGAAAGUACGUUCAGUUUGUAUACCUCUACCAAAAAAGACGGUUUCUUUGCACUUUGACCUAGGUGUGUAACUCAGUUUAUGGUUUGCAGUACAUAUUGACUGCCUUAUAAAAGCACAACUAUACGAACUGAAAGAACAUUAGAUUAAUUCAUGUACUGUCUUUAAGGAAAAAAUAGUUUCUUGGACAUUUAAUUCACACAUUAAACCACAGCUUUUAUAAAUUCUUUAUUUUUAAAACAAAGAUUUUUACAAAAGCUCGCAUACUAGAGUACAAGGAAGAAAUAAAAAAAUAAUAAGUGCACUACAA